rnacentral:sRNA from 1 species
GAAGUGCCUACCUGGGAUAACGGCGGCGAGCGGACGGCUACAUUUACGGGAUCUCCCGGAGGGCCAGAGUCGUGGCUUACAGAAGAGACGAAAUGUGGUCUGAGGGACGAUAUGAAUAUGAAAGAAUUCCGAGAGAACGAGCACCUCCUCGAAGUCAUCCCAGUGAUGGCUACAAUAGACUAGUUAAUAUUGUGCCAAAGAAACCACCACUGCUAGACAGACCUGGUGAAGGAAGCUACAAUAGAUAUUACAGUCAUGUUGAUUACCGAGACUAUGACGAGGGCCGCAGUUUUUCUCAUGAUCGAAGAAGUGGUCCACCUCACAGAGGAGAUGAAUCUGGUUAUAGAUGGACAAGAGACGAUCAUUCUGCAAGCAGGCAACCUGAAUACAGGUAAAAGGAUAAAAAUAAUAGCAUAAGUACUUUGAUACUUGACUCACCGAGAUGUCUGCUUUGGAAAUAUAGACUCAAGGCACAUAGAUGAAAUAUUUUACCGGGAUUUUAAAUUUUGAAAGCAACAAGCAUUAUAUUCUUUUUGUGACUAUGUAGAAUAUUAGCACUGAUAACUAGUGUUCCACAUCUCUUGGCAUUUUGUAACUCAUAAAAAAAAUUUAAAAAUAUUUGGGCCUGGUGCGGUGGCUCACACUGUUAAUCUCCGUGCUUUGGGAGGCCAAGGCGGGCAAAUCACUUGAGGUUAGGAGUUUGAGACCAGCCUGGCCAACAUGGUGGAACCCUGCCUUUACUAAAAAUACAAAAAAAAAAAGAAAAAAAAAUUAGCUGAGUAUGGUGGCGGGUGCCUGUAAUCCCAGCAACUCAGGAGGUUGAGGCAGGAGGAUUGCUUGAACCUGGG